rnacentral:rRNA from 1 species
GAUGAACGCUGGCGGCGUGCCUAACACAUGCAAGUCGAGCGAUUUACUUCGGUAAAGAGCGGCGGACGGGUGAGUAACGCGUGGGUAACCUGCCCUAUACACACGGAUAACAUACCGAAAGGUAUGCUAAUACGGGAUGAUAUGUUUUGAUCGCAUGAUCGAAAUAUCAAAGCUUUUGCGGUAUAGGAUGGACCCGCGUCUGAUUAGCUAGUUGGUAAGGUAAUGGCUUACCAAGGCGACGAUCAGUAGCCGACCUGAGAGGGUGAUCGGCCACAUUGGAACUGAGACACGGUCCAAACUCCUACGGGAGGCAGCAGUGGGGAAUAUUGCACAAUGGGCGAAAGCCUGAUGCAGCAACGCCGCGUGAGCGAUGAAGGCCUUCGGGUCGUAAAGCUCUGUCCUCAAGGAAGAUAAUGACGGUACUUGAGGAGGAAGCCCCGGCUAACUACGUG